AUUGAACGCUGGCGGCAGGCCUAACACAUGCAAGUCGAACGAGUGGCGGACGGGUGAGUAAUGUCUGGGAACCUGCCCGAUGGCGGGGGAUAACUACUGGAAAAGGUAGCUAAUACCGCAUACCAUCGGAUCUUCCAAUAUGGGAUUAGCUAGUGGGGGGGGUAACGGCUCACCUAGGCGACGAUCCCUAGCUGGUUUGAGAGGAGGACCAGCCAAACUGGAACUGAGACACGGUCCAGACUCCUACGGGAGGCAGCAGUGGGGAAUAUUGCACAAUGGGCGCAAGCCUGAGGCAGCCAUGCCGCGUGUAUGAAGAAGGCCUUCGGGUUGUAAAGUACUUUCAGCGAGGAGGCGUUACUCGCAGAAGAAGCACCGGCUAACUCCGUGCCAGCAGCCGCGGUAAUAC
rnacentral:rRNA from 1 species